UACGUAGGGGCCUAGCGUUGUCCGGAUUUAUUGGGCGUAAAGAGCUCGUAGGCGGCUCGGUAAGUCAGGUGUGAAAUCUCCACGCUCAACGUGGAGGGGCCACCCGAAACUGCCGUGGCUUGAGUCCGGUAGGGGAGUGUGGAAUUCCCGGUGUAGCGGUGAAAUGCGCAGAUAUCGGGAGGAACACCCGUAGCGAAGGCGGCACUCUGGGCCGGUACUGACGCUGAGGAGCGAAAGCGUGGGGAGCAAACAGG
rnacentral:rRNA from 1 species